rnacentral:ncRNA from 1 species
GUGUUGUAUGAAAGGAGAAAAGGUUAGCACUAUUCUCAAUAAGGAUGGAAGAUGUCCUAAUGGCCUUUACAACACAUAUAUGGUUAAGGCAUUGCUGCCUACUUUGUGACACCUGACCAUGUUUUCUG